UAUUAAUUUGGCAGAUUUAUGCGAAUGACUUAGAAUCAUAGUAUACCUUUUGAGGUGGUUAAUAA
rnacentral:tRNA from 1 species